UACCAGCUCUCCGAGUGGUAGGGAUGAUUAUUGGGCUUAAAGCGUCCGUAGCCGGCUUAGCAAGUCUCCUGUUAAAUUCAGCGACCUAAUCGUUGAGCCGCGGGAGAUACUACUGGGCUAGGAGGCGGGAGAGGUCGACGGUACUUCUGGGGUAGGGGUGAAAUCCUAUAAUCCCGGGAGGACCACCAGUGGCGAAGGCUGUCGACUAGAACGCGCUCGACGGUGAGGGACGAAAGCUGGGGAAGCGAACCGGAUUAGAUACCCGGGUAGUCCCAGCUGUAAACGAUGCGGGCUAGGUGUUGGGGUGGCUACGUGCCACUUCAGUGCCGCAGGGAAGCCAUUAAGCCCGCCGCCUGGGGAGUACGGCCGCAAGGCUGAAACUUAAAGGAAUUGGCGGGGGAGCACCACAAGGCGUGAAGCUUGCGGUUC
rnacentral:rRNA from 1 species